CUCUAAACUUUAAGAAGCUACGAUACCCAUUAGCAACAUUAGCACCCCCUGUGAGUUUAUCAUGUGACAGCAAAAAACGCGAAAGGUGGAGCAGUAUGUCCUGUUUGUCCCUCACCGGCUAACGUAU